rnacentral:rRNA from 1 species
UACGUAGGUGGCGAGCGUUGUCCGGAAUUACUGGGUGUAAAGGGCGUGUAGGCGGGAGUGUAAGUCAGAUGUGAAAUACCAUGGCUCAACUGUGGGGCUGCAUCUGAAACUACAUUUCUUGAGUGCUGGAGAGGAAAGCGGAAUUCCCAGUGUAGCGGUGAAAUGCGUAGAUAUUGGGAGGAACACCAGUGGCGAAGGCGGCUUUCUGGACAGUAACUGACGCUGAGGCGCGAAAGCGUGGGGAGCAAACAGG